CAGCCGUAAACUAUGCGCGUUAGGUGUACUGGUGACCACGAGUCACCGGGGUGCCGAAGGGAAACCGUGAAACGUGCCGCCUGGGAAGUACGGUCGCAAGGCUGGAACUUAAAGGAAUUGGCGGGGGGAGCACCACAACGGGUGGAGCCUGCGGUUUAAUUGGACUCAACGCCGGAAAUCUCACCGGAUAGGACAGACAUAUGAUAGUCGGGCUGAAGACUCUACUUGAUGAUCUGAGAGGAGGUGCAUGGCGUCAGUGACU
rnacentral:rRNA from 1 species